rnacentral:piRNA from 1 species
UACCAUGUCAGAAAAAAAAUGGGCUUCUGGU